GAUGAACGCUGGCGGCGUGCCUAAUACAUGCAAGUCGAGCGAACAGACGAGGAGCUUGCUCCUCUGACGUUAGCGGCGGACGGGUGAGUAACACGUGGAUAACCUACCUAUAAGACUGGGAUAACUUCGGGAAACCGGAGCUAAUACCGGAUAAUAUAUUGAACCGCAUGGUUCAAUAGUGAAAGACGGUUUUGCUGUCACUUAUAGAUGGAUCCGCGCCGCAUUAGCUAGUUGGUAAGGUAACGGCUUACCAAGGCAACGAUGCGUAGCCGACCUGAGAGGGGGAACGGCCAAACUGGAACUGAGAAACGGUCCAGACUCCUACGGGAGGGAGCAGUAGGGAAACUUCCGGAAUGGGGGAAAGCCUGACGGAGCAACGCCGCGGGAGUGAUGAAGGUCUUCGGAUCGUAAAACUCUGGUAUUAGGGAAGAACAAAUGUGUAAGUAACUAUGCACGUCUUGACGGUACCUAAUCAGAAAGCCACGGCUAACUACGUG
rnacentral:rRNA from 1 species